CGUGGCUUAAUCGGAUAAAGCGCCGGUCUACGAAACCGGAGAUUACAGGUUCAAAUCCUGUCUUGU
rnacentral:tRNA from 1 species